GACGAACGCUGGCGGCGUGCUUAACACAUGCAAGUCGAACGGAAAGGCCCUGCUUUUGUGGGGUGCUCGAGUGGCGAACGGGUGAGUAACACGUGAGUAACCUGCCCUUGACUUUGGGAUAACUUCAGGAAACUGGGGCUCAUACCGGAUAGGAGCUCCUGCUGCAUGGUGGGGGUUGGAAAGUUUCGGCGGUUGGGGAUGGACUCUCGGCUUAUCAGCUUGUUGGUGGGGUAGUGGCUUACCAAGGCUUUGACGGGUAGCCGGCCUGAGAGGGUGACCGGCAACAUUGGGACUGAGAUGCGGCACAGACUCCAACGGGAGGAAGCAGUGGGGAAUAGUGCAGAAUGGGCGGAAGCCUGAUGCAGCAACGCCGCGUGCGGGAUGACGGCCUCCGGGUUGUAAACCGCUUUCGCCUGUGACGAAGCGUGAGUGACGGUAAUGGGUAAAGAAGAACCGGCUAACUACGUG
rnacentral:rRNA from 1 species